rnacentral:rRNA from 1 species
AUUGAACGCUGGCGGCAGGCCUAACACAUGCAAGUCGAGCGGAUGAAGGGAGCUUGCUCCUGGAUUCAGCGGCGGACGGGUGAGUAAUGCCUAGGAAUCUGCCUGGUAGUGGGGGAUAACGUCCGGAAACGGGCGCUAAUACCGCAUACGUCCUGAGGGAGAAAGUGGGGGAUCUUCGGACCUCACGCUAUCAGAUGAGCCUAGGUCGGAUUAGCUAGUUGGUGGGGUAAAGGCCUACCAAGGCGACGAUCCGUAACUGGUCUGAGAGGAUGAUCAGUCACACUGGAACUGAGACACGGUCCAGACUCCUACGGGAGGCAGCAGUGGGGAAUAUUGGACAAUGGGCGAAAGCCUGAUCCAGCCAUGCCGCGUGUGUGGAGAAGGUCUUCGGAUUGUAAAGCACUUUAAGUUGGGAGGAAGGGCAGUAAGUUAAUACCUUGCUGUUUUGACGUUACCAGCAGAAUAGGCACCGGCUAACUUCGUG